UACGAAGGGGGCUAGCGUUGCUCGGAAUGACUGGGCGUAAAGGGCGCGUAGGCGGUUUAGACAGUUGGGCGUGAAAUUCCUGGGCUUAACCCGGGGGCUGCGCUCAAUACAUCUAGGCUUGAGUGAGGAAGAGGGUCGUGGAAUUCCCAGUGUAGAGGUGAAAUUCGUAGAUAUUGGGAAGAACACCGGUGGCGAAGGCGGCGACCUGGUCCUUUACUGACGCUGAGGCGCGAAAGCGUGGGGAGCAAACAG
rnacentral:rRNA from 1 species